rnacentral:lncRNA from 1 species
GUGAGCAGCGAACGAUGCUUUGACGAGAGCCACCUUCUUCAGGAUGAAAGGAUGUAGCCCCCAGCUGCUGGAAGUGACACCCCUCCACUGGCAGCCUGCUUGGAAUUGGUUCAACUUCUGAGAGUUGCCUUUCCCACAGUCAAGACCCCUUCCCAGAGCAACUGUCCUUCAAUGACUGUUCACCAUGGUGGUAAAAAGGCCUUCCCUGUAACUUGGGACAAGUCUCAAGAGCCAGUUCAGCUUUGGAGCUUCCUGUGAGGUAGCUGAGGCCUUCAUCAUGGCCAGAUUCUCCCUCCAUGCAAUCCUGCUUCCUUUCUUUCCCCCCUUCCCACGGGUACUGAUCCCAAAAGUUCUCCCUCAUAAGGCUUUUGCCUGCCCAUCUCCAUCUCCUCUUUCAACAUUUUCUGGGUGGGAUAGCUUUACCCAAAGACACACAAUCUCACUCUUUAACCUGAGGUCAACUGUAAAGACCUCCCUAUCCAAAAAGAAUUCCUAAGGGAUGCUUAAAUUUCCAUCAUCAGCCAUUUUUUUCUUUGGAGAUUGGAUCUUGGGUCACCUUCCAAGGAACCUAACCUUUGACAGUUGACCCAAGGAAAGAUCUGAGAAAGCAAAUGCCAAGGUGGGACUUUGGAGCUGGAUCACCUGCCAUCUGGUUGGCAGAACUGCACUGUUGGUGGAAGGGGAGCACACACGGCACAAGUGUUGACAUAGAUGAAUAUUCAGUGUCAAGAAGAAUGUGUCACCCAAAGAGUGAAAACAGAGUCCAUGUGGAAUCCACUAGGAAUGGACUUUGGGUCUCAUGGAACAUCCCCUAUAGCUGUUCGAAAGAGCAAGGGAAGAGUCAACUGAUCUCAAGGGUGACAGAGGGAAAGCAGGUAGGGCCAAAGACCCUUGGAAUGCCAUCCAUAUUCACACCCUUGGAGCUCCCCAUACAAUCCCCUUACCUGUUUGUUUGCCUGUUUAAGAUUUUAUUUAUUUAUUUGACAGAGUGA